ACAUAAAAUAAUAUUACUAUUACAUAAAAUAAUAUUUUUAUUACAUAAAAUAACACCAAAAGUAAUAAUAAUAAUAAUAAUAAUAACCCACAAUGAGCCCAAUAUUUUACAAACAGUAUCUUUCCAAAAGUAGGCGUAAAGACCGGUUUUAGUAAUAAGGUUUAGUGAUUUAAAAUGAAGAGGUAAUCUAUUUCAUGAUUUUAUGCAUUGGUUUGUUAAUAUUAUUUACGUACAUAACUAAGUAAUGAUUAAGGAUAUAUAAUUUAAGGUUACUAAACGACGGAAGAUAAUAACAAGAACUUUUUAUAGCAGUAAAGAAAUAAUAGAUCGAGGGAGGGAGGUUAACUUGUGCCUGAUUCCAGACAAAUAGACAAUUUAAUAGAUGAACAAGAGCACACAAUUUGAUGAUUUUGGAUAGAAGAAAAGCAUAUUGCUGAUUUAAUAGUUUUAUUGUUCUAAUUGGUCAUAUGGUUCAUUCUUAUCAAAGUUACACAUGCUAGAAGAUCGUGUUAUUCGAUUUAUAAAAAAAUAGUCUUCUUAAAUCA